CGGCAAGUCCCACGGCUCCGACGGCGGGAGCGGGAGCGGCAGCGGCGGUGUGAAACAGGGAGGAGGAGCGGGAGAAGAAGGCUUCGGUGGUGGAUCGGCCUUAGUAACCGGUGAUGUCGUCGGCACGAUGGGGGUGGAUUUCUGUGGAGAAUAUUGAAGACGGAGGAGGAGCUGAGAUAGAGGGAUUUUGGCGGUGGCUAUCACAAGGGCCUUAUGCCGUCAGCCGCGACACCGACGGCGACGGCGACGGCGGACUGAUUUACUUCGGCGGAGGAGGGGUGUGGGAGCAGCUGUGAUUUGGGAAGAGACGGACCAAACGUGUUCUGAAAUUAGGGUGGGAAAGGG
rnacentral:lncRNA from 1 species